rnacentral:tRNA from 1 species
GCCUUCGUGGUGUAGCGGUUGCACGCUCGACUCGUAUUUUAGAGGUCUGUGGUUCGAGUCCCGGUAAGGGUA